GACGAACGCUGGCGGCGUGCUUAACACAUGCAAGUCGAACGGAAAGGCCCUGCUUUUGUGGGGUGCUUGAGUGCGGAAGGGGUGAGAAAAACGCGUGUAACCCCCCCUUGACUUUGGGAUAAAUCUAGGAAACUGGGGAUAUUACAGCAUAGAAGAUCUUGCUCCACGUUGGGGGUAGGAAAGUUACGGCGGUUGGGGCUGGAAUAGCGGCUUAUCCGCUGGUUGGUGGGGUAGUGACUUACAAAGGUUUUGACGGGUAGCCGGCCUGAGAGGGUGACCGGCCACAUGGGGACUGAGAUACGGCCCAGUCUCCUACGGGAGGCAGUAGUGGGGAAUAUUGCACAAUGGGCGGGAGCCUGAGGCAGCAACGCCGGGUGCGGGAUGACGGCCUUCGGGUUGUAAACCGCUUUCGCCUGUGACGAAGCGUGAGUGACGGUAAUGGGUAAAGAAGCACCGGCUAACUACGUG
rnacentral:rRNA from 1 species